rnacentral:rRNA from 1 species
AGUGAACGCUGGCGGUAGGCCUAACACAUGCAAGUCGAACGGCAGCACAGUAAGAGCUUGCUCUUACGGGUGGCGAGUGGCGGACGGGUGAGGAAUACAUCGGAAUCUACUUUUUCGUGGGGGAUAACGUAGGGAAACUUACGCUAAUACCGCAUACGACCUACGGGUGAAAGCAGGGGAUCUUCGGACCUUGCGCGAUUGAAUGAGCCGAUGUCGGAUUAGCUAGUUGGCGGGGUAAAGGCCCACCAAGGCGACGAUCCGUAGCUGGUCUGAGAGGAUGAUCCGCCACACUGGAACUGAGACACGGGCCAGACUCCUACGGGAGGCAGCAGUGGGGAAUAUUGGACAAUGGGCGCAAGCCUGAUCCAGCCAUACCGCGUGGGUGAAGAAGGCCUUCGGGUUGUAAAGCCCUUUUGUUGGGAAAGAAAAGCAGCAGGUUAAUACCCCGCUGUUCUGACGGUACCCAAGAAUAAGCACCGGCUAACUUCGUG